rnacentral:rRNA from 1 species
CAGAAUGCUUAACACAUGCAAGUCGUGCGGUAACACUUCGGGUGACGAGCGGCGGACGGGUGCGUAACGCGUGAGAAUCUACCAUUUAGUGGGGGACAACCCGGGGAAACUCGGGCUAAUACCGCAUGUGUCCUACGGGAUAAAGCAGGGGAUCUUCGGACCUUGCGCUAAAUGAUGAGCUCGCGUGAGAUUAGCUUGUUGGUGAGGUAAAGGCUCACCAAGGCAACGAUCUCUAGCUGGUCUGAGAGGAUGAUCAGCCACACUGGGACUGAGACACGGCCCAGACUCCUACGGGAGGCAGCAGUGGGGAAUAUUGGACAAUGGGGGCAACCCUGAUCCAGCAAUUCUGCGUGUGUGAAGAAGGCCUGCGGGUUGUAAAGCACUUUCAGUAGCCAAGAUGGGAUUAAGUGUUAAUACCACUUAGUCUUGACAUUAACUACAGAAGAAGCACCGGCUAACUCCGUGCC